AUGAUGGCGAAGAGUUUAGUUGAGGAAGAUAAAGGGGAGAAUGAGGUCAGAGAAGGGAAAGAUGAAGAUUCUUCUACAGAAUUCCAGCGUGAAUCUCCAUUGCUGUUACUGAAUCGGAGCUUGAAUUUAAUUGUGAAAUUCUUUUCUUCUCCCGCCAUAGUCACAUCCAGAAAAUGCAAGCAUAUCAGUAUCCAAACUGCUUGCAAGCCUGUAUUCAAACUUGUUGAGUUGAACAACACGCUUUUUCACGAGUACAGGAAGUAA